ensembl:lincRNA
GGGCUCCAAAAUCACUGCAGAUGGUGAUUGCAGCCAUGAAAUUAAAAGACGCUUACUCCUUGGAAGGAAAGUUAUGACCAACCUAGGCAGCAUAUUAAAAAGCAGAGAUAUUACUUUGCAAACAAAGGUCCGUUUGGUCAAGGCUAUGGUUUUUCCAGUAAUCAUGUAUGGAUGUGAGAGUUGGGCCAUAAAGAAGACUGAGUGCUAAAGAAUUGAUGCUUUUGAACUGUGGUGUUGGAGAAGACUCUUGAGAGUCCCUUGGACUGUGAGGAGAUCCAACUAGUCCAUCCUAAAGGAGAUCAGUCCUGAGUGUUCAUUGGAAGGACUGAUGUUGAAGCUGAAACUCCAAUACUUUGGCCACCUGAUGCGAAGAGCUGACUCGAAAAGAAUCUGAUGCUGGGAAAGAUUGAAGGUGGGAGGAGAAGGGGACGACACAGAAUGAGAUGGUUGGAUGGCAUUACCAACACAAUGGACAUGAGUUUGUGUAAACUCCAGGAGCUGGUGAUGGACAGGAAGCCUGCCCAUCCAUGGAUUGUCCAUGGGGUCGCAAAGAAUCAGACAUGACUGAGCGACUAAACUGAACUGAACUGAACUGAAGUGAACUGAAGAGAGCCAUCAGGCACGCUGAUGGGAUAUAGACAUCAAUGCUGAAAAGUGAUACCAAGGAAAGGGUGUGACCAAGGAAGAGAAAGACUCUGGAACCAGCAACUCACAACAGCAACGUGCAGCAAUUCCAAGGAGCUUAAACAUCAAGGAAAAUGGGGGACUCCCCUGGUGGUUCAGUGGUUAAGAAUCUGCCUUCCAAUGCAGGGGACACAGGUUCGAUUCCUGGUCAGGGAACUAAGAUCCCACAGACCGAGGAGCAGCUAAGUCCUUGUACCACAACCAGAGAGUCAGAGCACUGCAAUGAAGAUCCUGUGCACCCUAACUAAGAUCCAACACAGUCAAAUAAAUAUUUUGACUGUAGCCUACCAGGCUCCUCUGUCCAUGGGGUUCUUCAGGCAAGAAUGCUGGACUGGGUUGUCAUUUCCUCCUCCAAGGGAUCUUCCUGACCCAGGGAUUGAAACCAUGUCUCCUGCGUCUCCUGCACUGCAGGCAGAUUCUUUACCACUGAGCCAGAGGGGAAGCCCACAAAUAAAUAUUAAGGAAAAAAAAGAAUGUCUUCAACUUCCAGGCUUAUUACCCAUGAAUCACAGCAGUCGGCAGUGAAAAAUUAUUAAUCACAAAACAAUGUUUAAGAGGAGCACUCAGUGGAAGACAGGGCUCAGAAGAAAUGAACUUGUAUGAGUAGUGAGUGAACAACAUUAUCACUGGAAAUUUAACAUAUCUGAAGCAAUGAUUGGUCAGACUCAUAAGUGGGGAAAACAGCUGAUGAGCAAGUAAGAUGUACAGUAAAUAAUUCUUGAGACUUUCAGAGUUCAUGCAUUAAUCUCUCACUGAUAAAGUGUUCGAGAAUGGAGUGUACUUCAGAGGGUAAAAAUGAUUCAACAGAUGACUCACAAGUCCAUGAACCUGUGGCUUCACCAGUACUGAGAAAGUUUCUAUCAUAAGAGAUCUUUGUUAGUUGAUUGGUUAGUUGGUUGUUUGGGGGUUUUUUUGUUUGUUGGUUGGUUUUUGUUGGUGAUGGUUUUGGUGUUUUUUGGUUGAACCUUGCGGCAUGUGGAAACUUAGUUCCCCAACCCGGGAUCAAACCCAUGCCACCUACAUAGGAAGGCA